GCCAGGAGACCUUUGGUGACUUCACUCUAUCUUUCUUUUUUCUUUUUUUUUUUGUUAUUCUUGUUAAGUGGGUGUGAAGCCCGUGUCUGAUGAGGCGCAUUUAGAGUACUAUGAAAACCCAGUAAAUGCAGGCCUGACGUCCAGCCAGUGUAAAUGCUUGGACAAAGCUGCUGCAAAGACUGGAGUGUUUGUGUUUGAUUAGAAAAGGCUCCACUCGGUGGUUUACCUCCAUUUUUCUCCUCUCUGUGCAAGAAGCAGUGAAGUGUUGAGCCCACGGUGAGCAGAUUUCACCCUGUAGUGAUAAAAAAAAGCAGGGUGAGUGGGUUGGCGUGUUGGUCACAAAGAUGACAAAAAUUAAUUGGUUACACCCGUGUGGGCUUUUCAUUUGCAUCCAGCAAUUGCAUUUGGACCUCGUUGGAGGAAAUAAUAUAAAAAAGAUGAAGUCUUUGUUUUCACUAAUUUAGCGUUAAUACCUUUAUGCAAAUAUGCACUUUGUUAAUUCUAAUGUUUCCUGCUGGCUCUGCAGUUAGUUGGAUUUCACAAAUUCGAUUAAAUACGAAAGUGAAAAAGGGAUAUACGUCAAAAGUGGGAAAAAGGGAGAGAGAGAGAGAAUGUAAUAAAUACAAAAAUGACACAGCUUUCAAAAGUCAAUUUGAUGAUAUUGUAGUUGCUUAAGGAUGUAAUAUUUUUGGCAAUGAAAUUACUAAAAAUAAUUUAAAAUAAAUAGCACUAUUUGAAGUGCAUGUAGGUUCAUAACAAACAAAAAGCACAGCCUGCAUGAAGAGGAGGAGGAGGAAGAAGUAGGUGAUGAAGGAGAAGAAAAAGAAGAAGAAAACAGCAGCUCCACGUGGAAUUUACUUCAUUAGGCGGAAAUGAAAAGGUCACAGUGCGUUGGUGGUUAAUGAGAAACAUCAGAUGUAAUGUCAGGAUUUUUUAUUUUUUGGUCAGUUGUUGGCGUCAAUUUGUUGUCUUUACAUUAUUCACUGUAUCAGACCAAGAUAGUAUGUUUAAAAAUAGAUUUUUAAAAAUAUAUUUCACUAAUAUUUAAAGAUGUCUGGUCCCAAAGAUGUUACAACCUUAUGGUGGUCGUUCUUUAGUCACUCGUUCUCGACUCUCGUCCUGGACCAGUCUGCCGUAGGAGAUUCAACCUGUUGAUUAUUUUCCAUAGGAGAAAUAAAGUGAGAACACAGACGAGUGACGUGUGCAUGCAUGAAUGUAGAGAAUGUUCAACUUGCCUCUGAAGUGGGAUGUUUCUCUCAGGCUCAUCCAGGAGACUGAGGUAGAACCCAACACUGAAGCAUACUCAUGAUGGAGUUGCAUUGAGCUCCAAAAGAUAGGACAGAGAUUUUGAACUAUGAACACAACUGGUCCAAAUUAACGUGAUUUUAUUUAUUUAUUUAAUUUGUACCCCAGUGGGAAGAACUAUUUUAUUUUAUCAGUGAGGAUGUCCAUUUUUAGAGUUCAGCCAUAGCUGUCAAAUAUCAGAAAAAGUUUGGGAAACUCUGGGCUAAUCAAAGAAACAAAAACUUAAGAUGAAAACUUUUU